CCUACGGGGGGCAGCAGUGAGGAAUAUUGGUCAAUGGACGAGAGUCUGAACCAGCCAAGUAGCGUGAAGGAUGACUGCCCUAUGGGUUGUAAACUUCUUUUAUAAAGGAAUAAAACGAGGCACGUGUGCCUUUUUGCAUGUACUUUAUGAAUAAGGAUCGGCUAACUCCGUGCCAGCAGCCGCGGUAAUACGGAGGAUCCGAGCGUUAUCCGGAUUUAUUGGGUUUAAAGGGAGCGUAGAUGGGUUGGUAAGUCAGUUGUGAAAGUUUGCGGCUCAACCGUAAAAUUGCAAUUGAUACUGGAAGUCUUGAGUACAGUUGAGGUAGGCGGAAUUCGUGGUGUAGCGGUGAAAUGCUUAGAUAUCACGAAGAACCCCGAUUGCGAAGGCAGCUUACUAAACUGUGACUGACAUUGAUGCUCGAAAGUGUGGGUAUCAAACAGGAUUAGAUACCCGUGUAGUC
rnacentral:rRNA from 1 species